ensembl:lncRNA
GUCUGCUCUCCGAAACUCUGUUCUCAGUAAAAGCACCAUCAGGUCGAGAAAACAUGUACGUCAAUCAGUUCCUCUUUGCUUAAAUGAAUUCCGCAUGAAUUUGUCAUUUGCAACCAAGAGUUCUGACAAAUACAUUGCACAAGAAAAGAGAAAUCAUGAAUCAUGAAAAAUGGAUCUUAAUUCCUUUAAGAUGAUGGAGCCAGCAGCAAAUCACAUCUCUGUGCUGGGAACAGAGACAUCUAGAGAACAACUUCUUCGUGAGAAGAAAGAGAAGAGCUCUGGGAAUCAAGAAAGAACCAGUAGGAAAGCUAAAAAUCACAGAGAACAGAAGACAACCAGAGAAAGGAAUGAAGCAGUGUGGAAAGCUAACUCUGACUCCAGGGUAGAGGGGAUCUCACCCCCAAACACAAGAUACCUUGAAGUCUGCCUUGAAGAGGGAAGAAACAAAGACAAGAGCUUGGUGGAUAGAAUAAACCUAUGGAUGCCAAAUGGGACACAGAGUGAACAGCCUCUUCCAGGGAUACCUGAGAAAGCAGAAGACUGACCUUAGCAGUUGUUGUAUUACCUCCUCACAGAGGGGUCUGGACAAAGCCGUUGUCAAAGCAUGGGUUUCGCUCCGAUGUUGUUCUGCUUGCUCCAUCUGGGACUCAGAUGCAUUCUCCUUUACCACUGAAUUCCUCAACUUGGACCACACCACAUCUGCUACCUGGAAAGUCUGACAAACAGCCUGGAAUAUCUGCCUACGAGCAAAUAUUUAUACUGUUGGAGUUACAUGUAUCAUUUAGCCUAUCUUACCUCAGAGUGUUUUUGCUUUACACUGAGUCAGAUACAGAACUUAAAACUUCUUAGUUUUGUGAAUGUUGAAUAGUAAAUUUUUUGUUUUGGUCAGCCUAUCCUGUCUUCAGAGGUGCUGAUUUCAUCAAUUACAAGCAAUAAUUAUUCAACAUUCACAAAACUAAACUAAAAUAAAUCAUAUAUAUGAUAUAUAUUAUAUAAUAUAUAGUAUAUAUAUGUAUGUAUUUUUAAAAACUUAAACUGGGCAUAGUGGAACAUGCCCAUAAUCCUGGCAUUCUGGGAGGCUGAGGCAGGAGGAUCACAAGUUCAAGUCCAGCCUGUUAGCAACUUAGUGAGACCCUGUCUCAAAAUAAAAAAAUUAAAAGUAGGACUAAGGAUGUAGCUUAGUGCAGAGGCCCUGGGUUCAAUCCCCAGGACAGAAAAAAACAAUUAAAAAUCCAGCUGAUCUUGGGGAUAAGACUAAGGCACUUCUGGUUGUUUCUGAAUGUUCCAUCUUAUCCCACCAUUUCUCAGCUUUUCUGCGUUAUAACUGGUCUCCUUUAGCUAGCCAUAAAGAGAGAAUUCCUUUUUUCAGACCAGUGAACUGACUGAUCACAUCACAUCAGCUCUAUUCUUCAGGUCAUGGCUUUGCAGCUGAGUUGUUUUAUUUACAGGUAUUUCUCGGUUUUGUUUGUUUGUUUUGCUUUGCAUUUAUAUUUGGAAAUCUAGUUGAAAAAAACAACAUUACUGGAUCCAGGAGCACCUUAUGAGAGUACACGUACCUUGCUGAUAGAAAUAAAAUCUAGAAUCUAUGACUCUCUUCUUUAGUUCCUUUCACCUGCAAGAAGAUAAGGUGCCCAGUCUAAUAGCUGAGGCAACACGUCUAUGUUUACCAUGUUGUACAUGCUUUAAUUUCCCUUAGCAGUCAUUCACCAGAGAGAGAAGGAGGAGCAACCUACAGGAAUCAGUGAUUUCUGGCAUUAAAAUUGCUGGCCACAUCAGGCUGCUUCUCACACAUGGCCCCAGUAAGACCAGAUAAAUUUCCACGGAAUCAUUCAACCUGUCUGAUUACUGUUUCCUGCUGUCAGAAGAGAUUCAAAUUUCCUACAUUUUAGGAAAUAUAUCUCUAUAUGUACAGCCUAUUGGUUCUGUUUUUCUGCAGAACCCGAAUACAAAUCUCAUAAUGAUUUAUACAAGAUCAAAUUAAAUUUCAUGAAAAGUUUGGAGAAUCUGAUUCUAUUCUAGUCUUCUUAGGAAAAUUAAAUACAUAAAUUAAUUCAAAAAAUUCUAAAUUAAAAAUGUGAGUAAUGACACGAGGCUAGAUAAAUUAGUUAUUUAAAUAUAUUAUAAAAGCUAUGAUAAUUAAAAUAUGGCACUGCUAAGAGAAGAAAAAUAUAUAGAUAUAGGAUCCAGAAUAGGCAGCCCAGAAAUUCACUUUGUUCCAUAUAAGAAGUGGCUAGACACUCACAGAUAUAUAUCAGAAGGAAGUGAAGUCAGCAUACAAAAGAUACCUGCAUGCCCAUGUGUAUUGUGCCACUUUUCACAACAGCCAAAGUAGGAAUCAGCCUCAGUGCCUUAAUAAUGGAUAAAUGUGAUACACACACACACACACACACACACACACACACACACACAAUAGAGUACUAUUCAGCCAUAAAGAAGAACGAAAUCCGUCCAUUUCCCUCAAAGUGAAUGGAACUGGAGACAUUGUGUGAAACUAGUCCCAGAAAGUUAAAAUUCACAUGCUUUCUUUUAUGUAAGCAAUCUAAAAGUAAAGACAAAUAAAUGCAAACGCAAAGGAGAGAGGACAGGAAACCAGAAGGUCGAUUUCCAGUGACAGGAAAGGGGAAGGGAGACAAAAGAAAGGGUAUGAAAGUCAUCAGACUUUGUUAAACGCGUGUACUAAUGUAUCAUUAUGAAUCUCAGUAUUGUUACUGCUAAUCUGUACCAAUAAAAAUAAAAUUACCUAUUUUUAA